rnacentral:lncRNA from 10 species
GCAAUAGUGGUAGGGGGAUUCAGGUGGAAUCUGUCAAGUGGAGGAGAGUUCCACCUAACAAGUUGGGGUUCUAGGUACCUUGGGAUUGCUAUGGUUAGUUAGGAAGCCUGGGGAGAUGAUAGAUUUUCUGGAUGGGACAGAAGGUACAACUCUCUCUCCUGGGGAUGUUGAUGACAAAUCCAUCAACCGUGAAGAUGAUUCCCUGAUGCUAUAAUUUUUGAAAUAUUUACUAUGGAAUUUUGUUCCCAGUCACAGUCAAUCAGGGUAACUAGGAGAGCAAAGCCUUAGAGUGACAUCUAUACCCAAUGAAGACAAAGUAGUUGUUUCCUAGGAGGAGGCAGUUGGCAAAAGCAGUAGAAAAGAAGUAUUACAGUCAGGAAGAAGAGAAAAAUGAAUGCUCCUAUUCCCACCCACAGCAUCACAUUACCAUUUCUGGCUGAGUGUUGAUUCUUUUUUUUUCUUUUUUUGGGUGGGGGGAUGGAGUCUCACUCUGUCACCCAGGGUGCAGUGCAGUGGCAUGAUCUUGGCUUUUGUGCCUGCAACUCAUAAGGAACAGGUUUAGGCCGGGCAUGGUGGCUCACGCCUGUAAUCCCAGCACUUUGAGAGGCCAAGACAAGCAGAUCAUUUAUGGUCAGGAGUUCGAGACCAGCCUGGCCAACAUGGUGAAACCCUGUCUCUACUAAAAAUACAAAAAUUAGCCAGUGGUGGUGACGCACACCUGUAAUCCCAGCUAUUUGGGAGGCUGAGGCAGGAGAAUUGCUUGAACCUAGGAGGUGGAGGUUGCAGUAAGCCAAGAUCUCACCACUGCAUUCCAGCCUGAGCGACAAAGCAAGACUCCUUCCCAAAAAAAACACAAAAAAAACCAGGUUUAAUCCUGGAUAGGUGUACCCAGCAAGUUAUUUCUUGAAGUUUAGCAGCAGUGGGGAUACUUAGCAACACCUGUUAGGGUCCCUUCCAUUUUGGUUGUAAUUGAUCCUUAGGGGUUCCUUCUUUCCACAUUUUUAGUAAGACAGCCUCCUGGUUGAAGGGGUGGGGGUAAUUAUUUCUCUUGUGGAAGGAGGCAAUAUUUUAUUUCCAUAGCUUGAAGGGCUUUUGAACCUGGCCUAAGUUGAUAAUAUGAGUGAGCAUUCUAUGUGUCUCUCCAUCAAACAAGAGGUCUGAAGUUAAAAUACUUCGUAAAAUAAGAUUAAAACUUAUUUUGCAAAUAAAUUUGUCCUACUAUGAUUUGUCUUUAGCAAAAUUGGGAUUAGAGAGAUAAAAAUUAUGUUUUGGAAAAAAACUAUAGGCCGGGAGCAGUGGCUCACACCUGUAAUCCCAGCACUUUGGAAGACCAAGGCAGGCAGAUCACUUGAGGCCAGGAGUUUGAGACCAGCCUGGCCAACAUGGUAAAACCUCAUCUCUACUAAAAAUACAAAAAAUUUGCUGGGUGUGGUGGCACACGCUUGUAAUCCCAGCUACUCAGGAGCCUGAGGCAUGAGAAUCACUUGAACCUGGGAAGCAGAGCCUGCAGUGAGCCGAGAUUGUGCCACUGCUCUCCAGCCUGGGAAACAGAGAGAUACUCUGUCUCAAAAAAAAAAAAAAAUUAUAGUAAACCUGUUGUUAGAUUCUAGUCUUGUCUGUUGUUUUUGAGUUUUUAUAAUUUUCCACAACUUGGAUUAAAUCUUGAAUUCUUUCUAGGCUACGGGUUAUUAAAUUAAUGCUUUCAAAUUAUUCUUCCAUUGUUCUGAUUUGAACUCAAUGAAAGUACUACUACAUUAUUCCUUGUAAUACAGGUGAGAAAAACACAUCAGAUGGCCACCCCCUUCCUCCUCUGUGAUUAAAGAUGCUUUGAAUCUAACAUCUGGAUAUAUUGUGCCUAACAUUAACCUUUGUUUUUCUUCUGUUUCCAUAGAGGCUAACAUCUGGAAAAAUUGUGCCCAAAAUUAACCUUUGUUUUUCUUCUGUUUUCAUAGAAAUGCCUGUUUUUAUUUUGAGAUGGAAUCUCACUCUGUUGCUCAGGCUGGAGUGCAGUGGCUUGAUCUCAGCUCACUGCAACCUCUGCCUCCCAGGUUCAAGUGAUUCUCCUGCCUCAGCCUCCCAAGUAGCUGGAACUACAGGUGCCCACCACCACGCCCGGCUAAUUUUUGUAAUUUUAGUAGAGACAGGGUUUCGCCAUAUUGGCCAGGCUGGUCUCGAACUCCUGACCUUGUGAUCCACACACCUCGGCCUCCCAAAGUGCCCCAGCACUUUGGGCUUACAGGUGUGAGCCACUGCACCUGGCCAGAAAUGCCUCUUAUUAAAAAUCCGUUUGCUUUCAUCACAUGUAAAUGCCUAGCCCAUCUGCAAUGCCACCUCCUGGAUGGGAUGCAACUAUUUAACCAAACUGAUCCAUUCUCAAGAACUAGACAGGACUUAUGAUCACCUUCAUGAGUGUUUAUAGCUUUUCCUGUAACCUGUUAAAUCCAUAUUUAGCCAACCUGUCAUCAUAUCUGGUUACAAUGGAUAGUGGGGAACCUGCCUUAUAAUUAAGACUAACUGCUGUGUAUACAUCCCAGAUAAUUUGGAAAUGUCUCAGAUAGCCCUGCAAGAUAUGCACCAGCAAAUCAAAGCUAUGUCUGCCCCCACAUGGUCGUUAGAUCCAUGGAUGGCAUCCUGGUUCGGGUCAGGACCAUCCUGGGGAUGGAAGCUACUUACUACUCUAGCCCUAGUUGCAAAAACAGGUACACUUCUCCAGUGUGGAUUUUACUGCUGUGGCAUCCUCUGUAUGAGACUACAUGACAGGCUUUCCCAGAGAAUUUCCACACCUCGCACCAUAAUGUUCCAGCAAAUAUCAUCUGUAAGACCGGGCAUUUGUGAAGAUUUCCAACUUCAAAUAGUUCAGUUCCUCUUUGACACCCAAUGACCUACAACCCCUUUCACCAGGAAGUAGCCAGAAUGAAUAUGGUGUCUAAAUCCCAAAGAAAUGGAACGGAACUUGACGGUGAGGAAUUGUAACCAAGUACCCCCAGUUUUCAAAGAAAAAGAUAAUGAAUUACUACUAUUUUUAAAUUAUUUUAUCUUAUUUUCUGUUUUCUCCAUUUCCCCCAUUCCCCACUUCCUAUGUAGCCCUUUAGAAAUGCAAUUAUAAACCUUUACCUCCACUUCACCACACACUCCCUACAGGGCAAGUUCAUCUAACUAGGUGCUUAGAAGCUCCAGGACAGAACUCUGUCCGAUCAGGGGACUGCCUCAACAGAUAACAGUCAAUUUACAAACCAAAGUGUACCCGCUAUGAAAUCUCUCCCACCAGGAGGUUGCCUCAAGAACCUACAUUACAACAAUAGUCCAUCUACAACCCAAAGUAUGCCCACUACAAAAAUCUCUCCCAUUUGGAGAGUUUUGGGCCACUUUUACAAUCUAGUCCUGCCCACAAAGGCACCAGCAGCCACCAGCUUGACCACCUGGUAGAUAAGGCACUGAAGCGAGUACGCGAACCCCUACUUGUUUGCUUCCUCCCCUGCGUGCAUUUCAUGCCAGCAUGCCAGCACCCCCAUCUUUAAAAGCAUCAGCUUUCUGCUCUGAAGGCAAAGUGGUACCCUUAAGGCAGGAAGCCUGUACUUCUUCCCCUAGCUGGCUUUGGAAUAAAAAGUCAGUUUCUUUAUAACAGACCUCAUUCUUAUUAAUUGGACUCUGCAAGCAGUGAGCAACCGAACCUGUGUUUCAGUUACAGGAUUACAGGUCUGAGCCACUGUGCCUGGCUCACCAGUUUUUUACUUACUUACUUAUUUAUUUAUUUUUUGUUUGUUUGUUUGCUUUUGUUUUUUGGGUUUUUUUGAGAUGGAGUCUCUGUCGCCCAGGCUGGAG